rnacentral:rRNA from 1 species
CCUACGGGAGGCAGCAGUGGGGGAUAUUGCACAAUGGGGGAAACCCUGAUGCAGCGACGCCGCGUGGGCGAAGAAGUAUUUCGGUAUGUAAAGCCCUAUCAGCAGGGAAGAAGAAAUGACGGUACCUGAGUAAGAAGCACCGGCUAAAUACGUGCCAGCAGCCGCGGUAAUACGUAUGGUGCAAGCGUUAUCCGGAUUUACUGGGUGUAAAGGGAGCGCAGGCGGCACGGCAAACCGGAGGUGAAAGCCCGGGGCUCACCCGCGCGACUGCAUUGGGAAAGACCGGGCUGAGUGCCGGAGAGGUAGGCGGAAUUCCUAGUGUAGCGGUGAAAUGCGUAGAUAUUAGGAGGAACACCAGUGGCGAAGGCGGCCUACUGGACGGUGACUGACGCUGAGGCUCGAAAGCGUGGGGAGCAAACAGGAUUAGAUACCCGAGUAGUC